rnacentral:rRNA from 1 species
GAUGAACGCUAGCGGCAGGCCUAAUACAUGCAAGUCGAGCGGAUAUAUGUUUUCGGAAUAUAUAUUAGUGGCGCACGGGUGAGUAACACGUACAUAACUUGCCCUCAAGCGGGGGAUAGCCUUGGGAAACUGAGAGUAAUACCCCAUAGAAUUAUUGGACGGCAUCGUUUGAUAAUUAAAACUACGGUGUUUGGGGAUAGAUGUGCGUCUGAUUAGCUAGUUGGUGAGGUAACUGCUCACCAAGGCGACGAUCAGUAGGGGGCGUGAGAGCGUGGCCCCCCCACACGGGUACUGAGACACGGACCCGACUCCUACGGGAGGCAGCAGUAAGGAAUAUUGGUCAAUGGAGGGAACUCUGAACCAGCCAUGCCGCGUGAAGGAUGACGGCCCUCUGGGUUGUAAACUUCUUUUGGAUGGGGCGAAAAAACGGGAUUUAUCCUGGACUGACGGUACCAUCAGAAUAAGCACCGGCUAACUCCGUG